UACAGAGGGGGCGAGCGUUGUUCGGAAUUACUGGGCGUAAAGGGCGCGUAGGCGGCCUGCUAAGUCGGACGUGAAAUCCCUCGGCUCAACCGGGGAACUGCGUCCGAUACUGGCGGGCUUGAAUCCGGGAGAGGAAUGCGGAAUUCCUGGUGUAGCGGUGAAAUGCGCAGAUAUCAGGAGGAACACCGGUGGCGAAGGCGGGUCUCUGGGCCACACCGUGACGCUGAGACGCGAAAGCUAGGGGAGCGAACAGG
rnacentral:rRNA from 1 species